UACGGAGGGGGCUAGCGUUGUUCGGAAUUACUGGGCGUAAAGCGCACGUAGGCGGCGAUUUAAGUCAGAGGUGAAAGCCCGGGGCUCAACCCCGGAACAGCCUUUGAGACUGGAUUGCUUGAACAUCGGAGAGGUGAGUGGAAUUCCGAGUGUAGAGGUGAAAUUCGUAGAUAUUCGGAAGAACACCAGUGGCGAAGGCGGCUCACUGGACGAUUGUUGACGCUGAGGUGCGAAAGCGUGGGGAGCAAACAGG
rnacentral:rRNA from 1 species